AACGAACGCUGGCGGCAGGCCUAAUACAUGCAAGUCGAACGAGAAAAUUCUUUCGGGAAUGAGUAGAGUGGCGCACGGGUGAGUAACGCGUGGGAACGUGCCCUUUGGUAGGGAAUAACAGUUGGAAACGACUGCUAAUACCCUAUAUUAUCUUCGGAUGAAAGAUUUAUCGCCAAAGGAUCGGCCCGCGUAGGAUUAGCUAGUUGGUGAGGUAAUGGCUCACCAAGGCGACGAUCUUUAGCUGGUCUGAGAGGAUGAUCAGCCACACUGGAACUGAGACACGGUCCAGACUCCUACGGGAGGCAGCAGUAAGGAAUAUUGGACAAUGGGGGAAACCCUGAUCCAGCCAUGCCGCGUGAGUGAUGAAGGCCUUAGGGUUGUAAAGCUCUUUUAACGGUGAAGAUAAUGACGGUAACCGUAGAAUAAGCCCCGGCUAACUUCGUGCCAGCAGCCGCGCGUAA
rnacentral:rRNA from 1 species